UACAGAGGGUGCAAGCGUUAAUCGGAUUUACUGGGCGUAAAGGGCUCGUAGGCGGCCAACUAAGUCGGACGUGAAAUCCCUCGGCUUAACCGGGGAACUGCGUCCGAUACUGGAUGGCUUGAGUUCGGGAGAGGGAUGCGGAAUUCCAGGUGUAGCGGUGAAAUGCGUAGAUAUCUGGAGGAACACCGGUGGCGAAGGCGGCAUCCUGGACCAAUUCUGACACUGAGGAGCGAAAGCCAGGGGAGCAAACGGG
rnacentral:rRNA from 1 species